GAUGAACGCUGGCGGCGUGCCUAACACAUGCAAGUCGAACGACCAGACGGUAAGCUUUCUCCUUUAACGGUAGCGGGGGACGGGCGGGUAACACAUGCAUCACCUUCUUAUAUUACUGGGAUGAUUACGUGAAAACGCUGACAAUACUGCCUCAUAUAUCCUACCGCUGGAUUCAAUAGAUAUUCGCACCUUGCCUGUUUGUUUUAGACGGUUCCGGGCCGGAUUAGCUAGUUGGUAAGGUAACGGCUCACCAAGGCGACGAUGCGUAGCCGACCUGAGAGGAUGAUCAGCCACACUGGAACUGAGACACGGUCCAGACUCCUACGGGAGGCAGCAGUAGGGAAUCUUCGGCAAUGGGCGAAAGCCUGACGCAGCAACGCCGCGUGAGUGAAGAAGGUCUUCGGGUCGUAAAGCUCUGUUGUUAGGGAAGAAAAACUGUAUGAGUAAAUAUGGACGUCUUGACGGUACCUAAAGAGAAAGCAACGGCUAACUACGUG
rnacentral:rRNA from 1 species